rnacentral:rRNA from 1 species
UACGGAGGGUGCAAGCGUUAUCCGGAUUCACUGGGUUUAAAGGGUGCGUAGGUGGGCUGGUAAGUCAGUGGUGAAAUCUCCAGGCUUAACUUGGAAACUGCCAUUGAUACUAUCAGUCUUGAAUACCGUGGAGGUCAGCGGAAUAUGUCAUGUAGCGGUGAAAAUGCUUAGAUAUGACAUAGAACACCAAUUGCGAAAGGCAGCUGGCUACACGAAUAUUGACACUGA